GCUAGUAAUCGCGGAUCAGCAUGCCGCGGUGAAUACGUUCCCGGGCCUUGUACACACCGCCCGUCACACCAUGAGAGUCGAUAACACCCGAAGCCUGUAGUCUAACCAUAUGGGGGACGCAGUCGAAGGUGGGAUUGAUAAUUAGGGUGAAGUCGUAACAAGGUAAC
rnacentral:rRNA from 1 species